UCACAGUUUGCACUGGCAGUCUUGCUAGAGUUCCCGACAUGACUCGCUGGCAACUAACAACAGGGGUUGCGCUCGUUAUAGGACUUAACCUGACACCUCACGGCACGAGCUGACGACAGCCAUGCAGCACCUCUACCGGUGUCUCUUGCGAGAAGGCGAUGUUUCUACCCUUGGUCAGUAGCGGUUCAAGCCCAGGUAAGGUUCUUCGCGUUGCGUCGAAUUGAACCACAUGUUCCACCGCUUGUGCGGGCCCCCGUCAAUUCCUUUGAGUUUCAGUCUUGCGACCGUACUCCCCAGGCGCAGGACUUAACGCGUUAGCUACGGGACGACCCGCCUACGCGGGCCACCCCAAGUCCUGAUCGUUUAGGGCUAGGACUAC
rnacentral:misc_RNA from 1 species